rnacentral:rRNA from 1 species
CCUACGGGAGGCAGCAGUGGGGAAUCUUGCGCAAUGGGCGAAAGCCUGACGCAGCCAUGCCGCGUGAAUGAUGAAGGUCUUAGGAUUGUAAAAUUCUUUCAGUAGGGACGAUAAUGACGGUACCUACAGAAGAAGCCCCGGCUAACUUCGUGCCAGCAGCCGCGGUAAUACGAAGGGGGCUAGCGUUGCUCGGAAUUACUGGGCGUAAAGGGAGCGUAGGCGGACAUUUAAGUCAGGGGUGAAAUCCCAGAGCUCAACUCUGGAACUGCCUUUGAUACUGGGUGUCUUGAGUGUGAGAGAGGUAUGUGGAACUCCGAGUGUAGAGGUGAAAUUCGUAGAUAUUCGGAAGAACACCAGUGGCGAAGGCGACAUACUGGCUCAUUACUGACGCUGAGGCUCGAAAGCGUGGGGAGCAAACAGGAUUAGAUACCCUGGUAGUCCACGCCGUAAACGAUGAUUGCUAGUUGUCGGGAUGUUUACAUCUCGGUGACGCAGCUACGCAUUAAGACAUCCGCCGUCGGGGUAGGUACGGUCGCGAGAAUUAAACUACGAAGAAGUUAGACGGCGUGAGACGUGCCGACGGACGACGACGAGGGAGGUUAGG